UGAGCAACCUGCCCUUGACUCUGGAAUAACAGCUGGAAACAGCUGCUAAUACCGGAUAUGACCUCUUCCGACAUCGGGCGAGGUGGAAAGCUCCGGCGGUCAAGGAUGGGCUCGCGGCCUAUCAGCUAGUUGGUGAGGUAACGGCUCACCAAGGCAACGAUGCGUAGCCGACCUGAGAGGGUGAUCGGCCACAUUGGAACUGAGACACGGUCCAGAUCCUACGGGG
rnacentral:rRNA from 1 species